ACUCCUACGGGAGGCAGCAGUGGGAAUAUUGCACAAUGGGCGCAAGCCUGAUGCAGCCAUGCCGCGUGUGUGAAGAAGGCCUUCGGGUUGUAAAGCACUUUCAGUUGUGAGGAAGGUGGUGUCGUUAAUAGCUGCAUCAUUUGACGUUAGCAACAGAAGAAGCACCGGCUAACUCCGUGCCAGCAGCCGCGGUAAUACGGAGGGUGCGAGCGUUAAUCGGAAUUACUGGGCGUAAAGCGUACGCAGGCGGUUUGUUAAGCGAGAUGUGAAAGCCCCGGGCUCAACCUGGGAACUGCAUUUCGAACUGGCAAACUAGAGUGUGAUAGAGGGUGGUAGAAUUUCAGGUGUAGCGGUGAAAUGCGUAGAGAUCUGAAGGAAUACCGAUGGCGAAGGCAGCCACCUGGGUCAACACUGACGCUCAUGUACGAAAGCGUGGGGAGCAAACGGGAUUAGAUACCCUGGUAGGCUCUGCU
rnacentral:rRNA from 1 species